UUUUUCUUUGUAUGUUCAACUAAAACAGCACAAGGAACCGAGGGAAGUGAACAUGUUUGUUGAUCUACUACUUCUUGAGGACUUCUUGAGUGAUCUUUCGGUACAUCGCUGCUGAUACAAGCAGCCUAACCAGACUGCUUUUGUGAAGGGAAUUUUGCAAUAUACCUUCUGUUUCUUGCUCACAUGAUUGAUGUGAUUUUGAAUUCAUUUAGCACAUUGCUUUCUGAGAAGCCAUUUGCAGUACAAGGAUGAAACUUGGUCAGAGUGUUUACCAUAUGGACUGGCAGUGAAACCAAAAAAGGAGGCGCGCUACUGUUCUUCUGUAUUCAUAUCAAUGUAACAGCAUGUACAAGUAGUCUUCUUGGGAGCUACCCAGUAGUUGAGUGAGACAUUAAUAAGCUAUUCUAAAUUAAAUGUAAAUAUGCAUUUCUGACCAUAGUAUGAAGUUCAAAGGUGUUUAUGUUCCUUUCCUGUGUAUAAGAUAAACAUUUUUUCUAACCCUUCUUCCUUAGGUCGCUUAAAUUGAAUUUGAUGUCUACAAAGUGCUUCCCAUUUCAUUAUUAGAUUACUGAUAUAGCUAUGCCUGGAGAGUGGAGAUAAGUGGAGGUGGCACCACCAAUUCCUUGAUGUACCAGGAAUGUUUGGAUUGUUGUAUUUUGACAUUGUUUAGUUCAACAUAUUCAAGGUAUGUUCCAAGGCUAUCUUAGAAAAAUUCCUGCAAAUAUUGCAUUUUGAUUCAUCUUGUUGCCCUUUUUGUUUCUGGUAUGGACCAUACUAUGAUUUCUUUGAACAAUUAGUUACUCUCUCAGUCUCCCAACCACAUCUCUCUCGGUCUUGCUUCUUGCCCGUUCCUAAUUUUGGCCAUUAUAUAUUUAUAAGGACGGGUUUGAGAAAACAUCUCUCGACAACUGAAAUUGUUGAGAAGAUUGUGUUUGCUCGUAUAUUAUUCUCGGAUCACAGCUCUAUUAACAACAAAGGUUGUGGUGGUCAUAUCACCCUUGUAAGUCUAAUUCAUGAUCAGUGCUUGAAACAUGCAAAUCACAGGUUAUCUGCAUGCUUCCUUGGAUCAGGGCAACCUGAUAGUCGCGUUGAAGCUAAAGCGAUAGCUGGCAUGUAUAAGAUUGUUUAUGUUUGCCACGAGACAAUAUUAAGAUUAAUGGAUUCGUUGAAGAAACUUGCAAAAAAGCUAGGGAUUGCACUUUUUGCCAUUGAUGAGGAAUGGUGAGGUUUAACAAACUGCAAAGAAGGGGAAGAAAGGAGGUACAUGGAAGGUUUCAAUAUAUCUGUCAACCUGUAUCAGCAUGGUCACUAGGAAUAAACUUAUAAAGAAGGGGAAGAAACAUGAAGGAAAUCUAAAAUAAGUCGUGAGAUAACUUAAGGUGCUUUUGCAGAGAAGGCAAUUUGCAUCUCCCAGCAGCGAUGGUUAGAGCAUCUCAGAGCAUAAAUCUAAACCUGUCGCAAGAUCUAUUCAUGACAAUAUGAGCAGAUAUUCUUCUCUUAGUAGUUAGUUUUAAGACACAACUGAAUUCAGUAGGAUAAGCUUUCGAUACAAAACAUUCUUUAGUUCCUCAUGAGAAUGGUCAUGGCAAAUCAUUGGGCACUAAGUUGCACACGCUUGGCAGUCUGCCUUCACGUGUACUACUUAAUGGCACCGAUGGGGAUGAUCAUAGUGACCAUUUGAAGCAAGGUUUCGUGACAGGUGGUAUGGUUGCUAGAUCAUCCAAUGUUAAAUGCGAUGAAAAGGCUGUAAUUAUCAUGUCUACAAGUUUUGUCUACUGUGACAAUGUUGUUAUGGAUAAGGCUGAAGAUGAAGAACCUUAGUUGUAUUAAGUUUGUGCAGAAAGAAACUAAUCAUAAUGUAAUGGAUACCUUGGAGCAACAAGAUUCUUUUACCCAUGUGUAUUAUAAAAAAU